rnacentral:rRNA from 1 species
AUGGCAACUCCGGCGGCCAUCUCCUCGGCUAUCCUUCUCCUCCUAUUCUCGUUCUCGCUCACCGCCGGCGCCAGGGGUGCCACCUUCACCGUCAUGAACUUUUGCCCUUUCGUGGUGUACCCGGCGGCCAUCCCGGUCGGCUGGGGCGCGGAGAUAGGGACCGGCCUGGGGAUCGGCCAGGCGUGGAACCUCGCGGUGCCCGCCGGCGCCUCCUCGGUCAGGAUAUGGGCCCGCACCAACUGCACAUUCGAUCCCGCCACCGGCCGCGGUAGCUGCGGAACCAGCGACUGCGACGGCGCGCUGCGCUGUGACGACUACAGGAAGCCGCCCGUGACGCAGGCCGAGUUCACCCUCGGCUCCUCCGGCAGCGCCCCGGACAGCUACAACUACAGCAUCUCGCUCGUCGACGGCUUCAACGUCCCUAUGGGGAUCCUGUGCCCGCCUAAAUAUUACAUUCACUACUUGCUUAAUCCACAAGACAUUUUAUUUUUUGUCGUACUCUAUGGUCUACGCUGCCAGGGAGGUUUUUCUAGGGGGGGAGCAAGAAGUCGAUAA